rnacentral:rRNA from 1 species
GAGGAAUAUUGGACAAUGGGCGCAAGCCUGAUCCAGCCAUGCCGCGUGCAGGAUGAAGCAUCUAUGGUGUGUAAACUGCUUUUGUACGAGAAGAAACAUCCCGACGUGUCGGGACUUGACGGUAUCGUAAGAAUAAGGAUCGGCUAACUCCGUGCCGGCAGCCGCGGUAAUACGGAGGAUCCAAGCGUUAUCCGGAAUCAUUGGGUUUAAAGGGUCCGUAGGCGGUCUUAUAAGUCAGUGGUGAAAUCUCCCCGCUCAACGGGGAAACGGCCAUGGAUACUGUAGGACUUGAAUUAUUAGGAAGUAACUAGAAUAUGUAGUGUAGCGGUGAAAUGCUUAGAGAUUACAUGGAAUACCAAUUGCGAAGGCAGGUUACUACUAAUGGAUUGACGCUGAUGGACGAAAGCGUGGGUAGCGAAC